rnacentral:misc_RNA from 1 species
GAGAAAAACUCACUUUCCGGGUCGAUACCAUCGGAGUUGGGUGAGUUUCCCAGGUUGGCAAACUUGAAUCUUGCUUCAAAUCUUCUCACAGGCAACAUACCAAAUUCAUUGUCAAUGAUGGCCUCGUUGAACUCUCUGAAUCUUUCGAGUAACAAACUUAGUGGCUCAAUUCCACCAAGCUUGGAUAACCUGAAGUUAUCUUCAUUGGAUCUCUCUAACAAUCAGCUAACUGGAAGAGUUCCUACAGAUCUUUU